UGUCAACUGUCUGGCAUGGAGGUGGAUUUUUUUAUGCUUUGUGGUUGUGUGACAGGAAACACUGCAUGGGUAGAUAGAAGAAUGGAUUCCAGUAAAUAUCAGCAAAUUCUGGAAUAAUGUCAAGAAACUGAAGUUGAAAAGAGACUGGCUGCUACACCAGGACAAUGAUCCAAAACAUACCUGAAAAUCCACCAUGAUCCAUCCAUCCAUUUUCUGUAUCUCUUAUCCUACACAGUGUCGUAGGGAGCCUGGAGACUUCACUUUAAAAAUCAAACAAACUUUUGCAGACAACCUGACAACUGCACAUGAAUAAUGAGAAACAGGAAAAUCAAGUCUUGAUAUCUGUGCAGGCUGUGCAUCACCUUGUCACAAACAUAAUGAUCACGUGACUGGGAAAUUCAGGUUAAAUGACUACAUGCUGCCCUGGGUAUGUCACCGCCCUGGGUGUAUAAUGUCACCACCCUGGGUAUGUAAGCCACACAACAGAACAAAAUAUAUGCAGACAGCAAGAGAAACAGCUGAAAGUGUGACUGCCAACUGCAAGCAGAACAGAGCGAGAAGAACUUGACAGAUAUCAUGUGCAGAAUGAAGACGGAAAAACUUCAGGAUUUGGUAAUGAGCUGUAUGGAUGAGCUGGUUGAGAGUGUGAAUGAGACACGGCGGAUAUGUAAAGAUUUGCUGAACCAAGGUCUACUGAGUGAGGACAAACACAGGACCAUUGUAGCAGCUCCAAGCACUCAGGAUAGAAUGAAGCAGCUUUUGCAUGCUCUGUCUAGCAAAGGACAACAGGGGAGAAAUGCCCUUUACAGACUACUACAAGAACAUGAGCCUGAGCUUACUCUGCAGUUGG